AAUGACAGAUGGAAACAGAGUCUCUUGCCUUUAGGGGGCUGUAGCCCUGCCCCCGAACAUGAAUCUAGAGAUUCUACAGCA
rnacentral:snoRNA from 1 species